rnacentral:tRNA from 1 species
ACUUAAAUAGUUUAAAUAAGAUAUUGAUUUGUGGUGUCAAUGAUAUGAAUUAUAUUCAUUUUAGGUC